AGAGUUUGAUCCUGGCUCAGGAUGAACGCUAGCGAUAGGCUUAACACAUGCAAGUCGAGGGGCAGCAUGGUCUUAGCUUGCUAAGACUGAUGGCGACCGGCGCACGGGUGCGUAACGCGUAUGCAACUUGCCUCACAGAGGGGGAUAACCCGUCGAAAGACGGACUAAUACCGCGUACACUCUAUGUUGGGCAUCCAAUGUAGAGGAAAUGAACUUCGCUGUGAGAUAGGCAUGCGUCCCAUUAGCUAGUUGGUGAGGUAACGGCUCACCAAGGCGACGAUGGGUAGGGGAACUGAGAGGUUGAACCCCCACACUGGUACUGAGACACGGACCAGACUCCUACGGGAGGCAGCAGUGAGGAAUAUUGGUCAAUGGGCGAGAGCCUGAACCAGCCAAGUCGCGUGAAGGAUGACUGUCUUAUGGAUUGUAAACUUCUUUUAUACGGGAAUAACAAGAGCCACGUGUGGCUCCCUGCAUGUACCGUAUGAAUAAGCAUCGGCUAACUCCGUGCCAGCAGCCGCGGUAAUACGGAGGAUGCGAGCGUUAUCCGGAUUUAUUGGGUUUAAAGGGUGCGUAGGCGGCCUGUUAAGUCAGCGGUGAAAUCUAGGAGCUUAACUCCUAAAUUGCCAUUGAUACUGGCGGGCUUGAGUGUAGAUGAGGUAGGCGGAAUGCGUGGUGUAGCGGUGGAAUGCAUAGAUAUCACGCAGAACUCCGAUUGCGAAGGCAGCUUACUAAGGUACAACUGACGCUGAAGCACGAAAGCGUGGGUAUCAAACAGGAUUAGAUACCCUGGUAGUCCACGCAGUAAACGAUGAUAACUGGGCGUAUGCGAUAUACAGUAUGCUCCUAAGCGAAAGCGUUAAGUUAUCCACCUGGGGAGUACGCCGGCAACGGUGAAACUCAAAGGAAUUGACGGGGGCCCG
rnacentral:rRNA from 1 species